rnacentral:rRNA from 1 species
UUCCGGUUGAUCCUGCCGGCGGUCACUGCUAUCGAGUUUCGACUAAGCCAUGCGAGUCACAGGCCGAAAGGUACUGGCGGACGGCUCAGUAACACGCGGAUAAUCUACCCUCAGGUGGGGUAUACCCUUGGGAAACUGAGGCUAAUCCCCCAUAGGUCCUGUAAACUGGAAUGUUUUAGGACUGAAAGUCACGGCGCCUGAGGAUGAGUCUGCGGCCUAUCAGGUAGUAGGUGGGGUAAAGGCCCACAUAGCCUAUGACGGGUACGGGCCCUGAGAGGGGUAGCCCGGAGAUGGGUUCUGAGACACGAACCCAGGCCCUACGGGGCGCAGCAGGCGCGAAACCUUCGCAAUGCGCGCAAGCGCGACGAGGGGAACUCGAGUGCUAUUAUCCUUUUGGGUGAUAGCUUUUCUCGAUCCUAAAAAGAUCGGGGAAUAAAAGCUGGGUAAGACGGGUGCCAGCCGCCGCGGUAAUACCCGCAGCUCAAGUGGUGGCCACUAUUAUUGAGCCUAAAGCGUCCGUAGCCGGUCUUGUAAAUCUCUGGGUAAAUCCCAUCGCUCAACGGUGGGAAGACUGGAGAGACUGCAAGACUAGGGAUCGGGUGAGGUAAGAGGUACUCCUGGGGUAGGGGUAAAAUCCUGUAAUCCUGGGGGGACGACCGGUGGCGAAGGCGUCUUACUAGAACGACUCCGACGGUGAGGGACGAAGGCUAGGGGAGCAAACCGGAUUAGAUACCCGGGUAGUCCUAGCUGUAAACGCUGCCCACUUGGUGUUGCCCUUUCGUAGGGAAGGGGCAGUGCCGGAGCGAAGGUGUUAAGUGGGCCGCUUGGGGAGUAUGGUCGCAAGGCUGAAACUUAAAGGAAUUGGCGGGAGAGCACCGCAACGGGAGGAGCGUGCGGUUUAAUUGGAUUCAACGCCGGA